rnacentral:rRNA from 1 species
UACGUAGGGGGCAAGCGUUGUCCGGAAUUAUUGGACGUAAAGAGCGCGUAGGCGGUCCGGUAAGUCGGCUGUGAAAGUCCAGGGCUCAACCCUGGGAUGCCGGUGGAUACUGUCGAGCUCGAGUCCGGAAGAGGCGAGUGGAAUUCCUGGUGUAGCGGUGAAAUGCGCAGAUAUCAGGAGGAACACCAAUGGCGAAGGCAGCUCGCUGGGACGUGACUGACGCUGAGACGCGAAAGCGUGGGGAGCAAACAGG